rnacentral:rRNA from 1 species
AAAACAACUCUCAGCAACGGAUAUCUUGGCUCUUGCAACGAUGAAGAACGCAGCGAAAUGCGAUACGUAGUGUGAAUUGCAGAAUUCCGCGAAUCAUCGAGUCUUUGAACGCAAGUUGCGCCCGAGGCUUGACCGAGGGCAUCUCUGCCAGAGCGUCAC